GGCAGUCUGCUACUCUUUCCCUGUUGCACUACUGUCCAAAGUUACAGCUAGCAGUGCAAUAAUGAAAGGGCGUCAGCCACCCC